UGUGUAGGCGGUUCUCUAAGUUCGGUGUGAAAUCUCCCGGCUCAACUGGGAGGGUGCGCCGGAAACUGGAGGGCUUGAGUAUGGGAGAGGAAAGCGGAAUUCCUGGUGUAGCGGUGAAAUGCGUAGAUAUCAGGAGGAACACCUGCGGUGUAGACGGCUUUCUGGACCAUCACUGACGCUGAGACACGAAAGCGUGGGUAGCAAACAGGAUUAGAUACCCUGGUAGUCCACGCCCUAAACGAUGCAUACUUGGUGUGAGCCGUUCAUUCGGUUCGUGCCGGAGCUAACGCGUUAAGUAUGCCGCCUGGGGAGUACGGUCGCAAGGCUGAA
rnacentral:rRNA from 1 species